GUUCUCAACAAGGCACCUUGUGCACAAGUGACAGAGCGAGCUCCAAAAAGAGCGCGAUGGAUCCCUCCUAUUGAGUUUCAAAGCAGUAAUUCCAUCUGCGAGCUGACAAUGACAUCACAGACUGUCUUCAUUUUGCUUGCCCUGGUCUGUGCAGUCAUUAAUAAUGAAGGUCGGGGAGUGAAUUUCAACCUAACACAAUCUUCCUCGACUUUUACAAUGCCAUCCUUGCUGAUAUUGCAGAGUUUUCCUGAUGCCAUUGAAAGCCCAAAGGCAUUCGCCGUGCAGUCUGGAGGUUGACAAGGGCUGGGAGACAGCUGGAACAGCGUGAGCAGCAGAUACCAGGUUCACACACACUGGGACGCAGCAAACCAGGCCUGUAAAGGGCCUGUCCCACCUACGCCCCUUGUCGGCACCCGUCAUAGUCGCAGCAGAUGUCUGAACAAUGUCAACAUGUUGAAAAUCCAGCGGCGACCAGAAAUAGCCGUUGCGCGAGUGAUGAAUAUUGGCCAGGACACCGUAGAGAUCUCAUCUGUUCCACUUCAAAAUAUCACCAUGUAAGUAUUCAGAAGCUGGCACCUUCCACUGUGCAGCAUGUCUACAUGGGCAGGCUGGAGACCAGGGUGUUUCCGACAAUGCCUCCUGUGGUUCAAGAUUGAUGUUGCAAUGUUUACCUGGUCAGUUUGUUCAUUGUGCUGUGCAACCAACCACAUCUUCCCAAGCCGCAUAGUAUCCCAGAUCACUUGCGCCUCCCUCCAACCUCAUCUACUGUAUCUGCUGUUCCAGGUGUCAACUUCUCUACAUCGGCGAGACCAAGC